AGCUGUUAUAUGAUGUUGGAUAUUCAUUUCCACAUAGAAAACACGAUUUGUCAAGAAAUAAGGAAUUAGAAAACUACUUCUAACUCGAGAAAACUUGAAAUAAUCAAUGGUUUAUUUCAAACCGGACGACAAUACUUACAUGGAAUGCCUUUGAAUACGUUUUAAUCAGUCGUUAAGGUGACCAAUCAUUACAGUUUAUAUGUUUCAUCUAUUUAUUAAAAAA
rnacentral:lncRNA from 1 species